UCUCCGUAGGUGAACCUGCGGAGGGUUCAUUACCGAGCGAGGGCCCCCGGCCCGACCUCCAACCCUUUGUGAACCCCAUCUCGUUGCUUCGGGGGCGACCCUGCCGUCCGCGGCUGAGCGCCCCCGGGGUCAAUCAAACACUGCAUUCUCUGCGUCGGAGUAUUAGUAAAUCUAAUCAAAACUUUCAACAACGGAUCUCUUGGUUCUGGCAUCGAUGAAGAACGCAGC
rnacentral:misc_RNA from 1 species